rnacentral:rRNA from 1 species
UACGGGGGGGGCUAGCGUUGUUCGGAAUUACUGGGCGUAAAGGGCGCGUAGGCGGUCUGCUAAGUUGGAUGUGAAAACUCUGGGCUUAACCCAGAGCCUGCAUUCAAUACUGACAGGCUAGAGUUCUGGAGGGGAUAGCGGAAUUCCUGGUGUAGCGGUGAAAUGCGUAGAUAUCAGGAGGAACACCGGUGGCGAAGGCGGCUAUCUGGACAGAGUCUGACGGCUGAGGUGCGAAAGCGUGGGGAGCAAACAGG